rnacentral:rRNA from 1 species
GACGAACGCUGGCGGCGUGCUUAACACAUGCAAGUCGAACGGAAAGGCCCUGCUUUUGUGGGGUGCUCGAGUGGCGAACGGGUGAGUAACAUGUGAGUCACCUGCCCUUGACUUUGGGAUAACUUCAGGAAACUGGGGCUAAUACCGGCUAGGAGCUCCUGCUGCAUGGUGGUGGUUGGAAAGUUUCGGCGGUUGGGGAUGGACUCGCGGCUUAGCAGCUUGUUGGUGGGGGAGUGGCUUACCAAGGCUUUGACGGGUAGCCGGCCUGAGAGGGUGACCGGCCACAUUGGGACUGGGAUACGGCCCAGACUCCUACAGGAGGCAGCAGUGGGGAAUAUUGCACAAUGGGCGGAAGCCUGAUGCAGCAACGCCGCGUGCGGGAUGUCGGCCUUCGGGUUGUAAACCGCUUGCGCCUGUGACGAAGCGUGAGUGACGGUAAUGGGUAAAGAAGCACCGGCUAACUACGUG